rnacentral:rRNA from 1 species
AGUGAACGCUGGCGGUAGGCCUAACACAUGCAAGUCGAACGGCAGCACAGUAAGAGCUUGCUCUUACGGGUGGCGAGUGGCGGACGGGUGAGGAAUACAUCGGAAUCUACUUUUUCGUGGGGGAUAACGUAGGGAAACUUACGCUAAUACCGCAUACGACCUACGGGUGAAAGCAGGGGAUCUUCGGACCUUGCGCGAUUGAAUGAGCCGAUGUCGGAUUAGCUAGUUGGCGGGGUAAAGGCCCACCAAGGCGACGAUCCGUAGCUGGUCUGAGAGGAUGAUCAGCCACACUGGAACUGAGACACGGUCCAGACUCCUACGGGAGGCAGCAGUGGGGAAUAUUGGACGAAGGGCGCAAGCCUGAUCCAGCCAUACCGCGUGAGUGAAGAAGGCCUUCGGGUUGUAAAGCCCUUUUGUUGGGAAAGAAAAGCAGCAGGUUAAUACCCCGCUGUUCUGACGGUACCCAAAGAAUAAGCACCGGCUAACUUCGUG